rnacentral:pre_miRNA from 1 species
UUUUUAGUUUAAGUAUGUCUCAGGCUAUAUCAGGGAUAUACUUAUACAAAAA